CAGUAGUAUAAAUAUGAGAACCGAAUUAUUUUUAAAUUCCAUUUGGUAUUUGAUUAUACACCCGAUAUCAACACGCCAAAUUGUCACAAAUAAUUUAAGCUAUCAACUCACAAAAGUAUGAUACACAUACGUAAAUUAUGUCAGCUGAUGACAUAAUUACUUAAUUUAAUUGAGAUGAUGAUGAUAUAAUAAUUAUAAUAAACUUUCUUAUUAUUUAGACGCAAAUCUCGGAAUUUUGUCGUAUUGUCGCUGCUGUUGCUGCUGCUGCUGCUGCUGCUACUACUCGCGGCUGGUGAUGCUCGAAGGAAUGAAACAAUCUAUACUGGAGAACGAGCGGAUUCUUUUAUAAGCGGAGGAAUAUAUGCGUUUUCACUUCUCUCAUAUCAAUAUGAAUUCAUGGAAAUCUUGUACGAGAUGCAUCCCAUGUGGACUUCAAUUCGCCUCAGCAAGGCGGUUCGAAAAACACGUUGCGAAUCACAGAAGGCCUUUUAGAUUAUAUCUAGUACCGUUCCGAAAACGACUACCUUAUGGACAUCCAACCGACCGGAAGUCACAACGUCGCCACCAGAUUAUAGGAAAGUGUUGCUGUUCUUCCUCCCCCCAAACCCAGAAAACCCCCCCGACGCCUAACCU